rnacentral:rRNA from 1 species
GCUAAACGCGAAGAACCUUACCAGGGCUUGACAUCCUACUAAUGAAGCAGAGAUGCAUUAAGUGCCCUUCGGGGAAAGUAGAGACAGGUGGUGCAUGGUUGUCGUCAGCUCGUGUCGUGAGAUGUUGGGUUAAGUCCCGCAACGAGCGCAACCCCUAUUGUUAGUUGCUACGCAAGAGCACUCUAGCGAGACUGCCGUUGACAAAACGGAGGAAGGUGGGGACGACGUCAAAUCAUCAUGCCCCCUUAUGUCCUGGGCCACACACGUAAUACAAUGGCGUUAAACAGAGGGAUGCUAAGCCGUGAGGUGGAGCGAACCCCUAAAAGGCGUCUCAGUUCGGAUUGCAGGCUGCAACUCGCCUGCAUGAAGUCGGAAUCGCUAGUAAUCGCGGAUCAGAAUGCCGCGGUGAAUACGUUCCCGGGUCUUGUACACACC